AAAUGAAUAGACGGGGACCCGCACAAGCGGUGGAGCAUGUGGAUUAAUUCGAUACUAACCGAAGAACCUUACCCAGGUUUGACAUCGAUCGAAACAUCUAGAGAUAGGUGCUUCUCCCCAAAAGGGAGACGUGAAGACACUUGUUGCAUGGCUGUCGUCAGCUCGUGCCGUGAGGUGUACGGUUAAGUCCGCCAACGAGCGCAACCCUCGUCCUAUGUUGCCAGCGAUUAAAGUCGGGAACUCAUAGGAGACCGCCGGUGUAAGCCGGAGGAAGGUGAGGAUGACGUCAAGUCAGCAUGGCAGUUACGCCUGGGGCUUCACACAUGCUACAAUGGACGCAACAAAGGGCAGCAAUACCGCGAGGUGGAGCAAAUCCCAAAAAUACGUCCUCAGUUCAGAUUGCAGUCUGCAACUCGACUGCAUGAAGGCGGAAUCGCUAGUAAACGCAGGUCAGCUAUACUGCGUUGAAUACGUUCCCGGGUCUUGUACACACCGCCCGU
rnacentral:rRNA from 1 species